rfam:Exophiala dermatitidis NIH/TT8656 unplaced genomic scaffold supercont1.9, whole genome shotgun sequence.
GUUGUAUUGAUGCGACGAUCUACUAGUAUCACCCUUUGUCGGUGACCGCAACAUGUUCAUGACAGUGCACACUACAAUGGCAAUGAUAUCGCUUUACCACCACACAGUGUGAUUCAUUCAAACUUCUGCCCUAUCAACUUUCGGUGGCAAGAUACCUUAGAGGCUUACAAUGGUCUUAACGGGUAACGGGGAAUUAGGGUUCUAUUCCGGAGAGGGAGCCUGAGAAACGGCUACCACAUCCAAGGAAGGCAGUCGACGCGCAAUUACACAAUCCCGAGACGACACGGGGAGGUAGUAACAAAUAAAUACUGAUACGGGGCUCUUUCGGGUUUCGUAACUGGAAUGAGUAUAAUCUGAAUCCCUUAACGAGGAAUAAUUGGAGGGCAAGUCUGAUGAACUUCACUUCGAAU